rnacentral:rRNA from 1 species
AGCGAACGCUGGCGGUAGGCCUAACACAUGCAAGUCGAACGGCAGCACAGUAAGAGCUUGCUCUUACGGGUGGCGAGUGGCGGACGGGUGAGGAAUACAUCGGAAUCUACUUUUUCGUGGGGGAUAACGUAGGGAAACUUACGCUAAUACCGCAUACGACCUACGGGUGAAAGCAGGGGAUCUUCGGACCUUGCGCGAUUGAAUGAGCCGAUGUCGGAUUAGCUAGUUGGCGGGGUAAAGGCCCACCAAGGCGACGAUCCGUAGCUGGUCUGAGAGGAUGAUCAGCCACACUGGAACUGAGACACGGUCCAGACUCCUACGGGAGGCAGCAGUGGGGAAUAUUGGACAAUGGGCGCAAGCCUGAUCCAGCCAUACCGCGUGGGUGAAGUAGGCCUUCGGGUUGUAAAGCCCUUUUGUUGGGAAAGAAAAGCAGCAGGUUAAUACCCCGCUGUUCUGACGGUACCCAAAGAAUAAGCACCGGCUAACUUCGUG